ACUCAAAGGAAUUGACGGGGGCUCACACAAGCGGUGGAGCAUGUGGCUCAAUUCGAAGCAACGCGAAGAACCUUAUCCUGGGUUUGACAUGCAUGGAUUAGUUCCUGGAAACAGGAAUGACACUCUCGUAGUGGAACAUGCACAGGUGCUGCAUGGCUGUCGUCAGCUCGUGCUGUGAAGUGUCGGGUUAAGUCCCUUAACGAGCGAAACCCCUAUUACUAGUUGCCAACGCGUUAUGGCGGGGACUCUAGUGAGACUGCCGGUGUUAAACCGGAGGAAGGUGGGGAUGACGUCAAGUCCUCAUGGCCUUUAUGCCCAGGGCUGCACACGUGCUACAAUGGCGCGGACAGAACGAUGCAAGACCGCAAGGUGGAGCAAAUCGCCUAAACCGCGCCCCAGUUCGGAUUGAGGGCUGCAACCCGCCCUCAUGAAGUCGGAAUCGCUAGUAAUCGCGGAUCAGCUACGCCGCGGUGAAUAUGUUCCUGAGCCUUGUACACACCGCCCGU
rnacentral:rRNA from 1 species